rnacentral:rRNA from 1 species
GAUGAACGCUAGCUACAGGCUUAACACAUGCAAGUCGAGGGGAAACGACAUCGAAAGCUUGCUUUUGAUGGGCGUCGAUCGGCGCACGGGUGAGUAACGCGUAUCCAACCUGCCCAUCACUUGGGGAUAACCUUGCGAAAGUAAGACUAAUACCCAAUGAUAUCUCUAGAAGACAUCUGAAAGAGAUUAAAGAUUUAUCGGUGAUGGAUGGGGAUGCGUCUGAUUAGCUUGUUGGCGGGGUAACGGCCCACCAAGGCAACGAUCAGUAGGGGUUCUGAGAGGAAGGUCCCCCACAUUGGAACUGAGACACGGUCCAAACUCCUACGGGAGGCAGCAGUGAGGAAUAUUGGUCAAUGGGCGAGAGCCUGAACCAGCCAAGUAGCGUGCAGGAAGACGGCCCUAUGGGUUGUAAACUGCUUUUAUAAGGGAAUAAAGUGAGAGUCGUGACUCUUUUUGUAUGUACCUUAUGAAUAAGGACCGGCUAAUUCCGUG